GUUGAACGCUAGCGGCAGGCUUAACACAUGCAAGUCGAGCGGUGGGAGGUAGCUUGCUACCGGACCUAGCGGCGGACGGGUGAGUAAUGCUUAGGAAUCUGCCUAUUAGUGGGGGACAACAUCUCGAAAGGGAUGCUAAUACCGCAUACGUCCUACGGGAGAAAGCAGGGGAUCUUCGGACCUUGCGCUAAUAGAUGAGCCUAAGUCGGAUUAGCUAGUUGGUGGGGUAAAGGCCUACCAAGGCGACGAUCUGUAGCGGGUCUGAGAGGAUGGGCGGCCACACUGGGACUGGGACACGGCCCAGACUCCUACGGGAGGCAGCAGUGGGGAAUAUUGGACAAUGGGGGGAACCCUGAUCCAGCCAUGCCGCGUGUGUGAAGAAGGCCUUAUGGUUGUAAAGCACUUUAAGCGAGGAGGAGGCUACUUUAGUUAAUACCUAGAGAUAGUGGACGUUACUCGCAGAAUAAGCACCGGCUAACUCUGUGCCAGCCGCCGCCGUAA
rnacentral:rRNA from 1 species